rnacentral:lncRNA from 1 species
GGGCAAGACCCAGGUGAUGGGGGAGAUCAAGGUGGCUCUGAAGAAGGAGGUGAAACAAGAGGGAGACCAGCUGAUCCUGGAAGUCCUACAGUGUAGAAACAUCACUUACAAAUUCAAGAGCCCAGACCACCUACCAGAUCUCUAUGUGAAGCUGUAUGUGGUGAACGUGGCGACUCAGAAGAGGAUUAUCAAGAAGAAGACCAGAGUGUGUCGUCACGACAGAGAACCCUCCUUCAACGAGACCUUUAGGUUCAGCCUCAACCCCACCGGACACUCCCUGCAGUUGUUCCUGGUGUCUAACGGGGUAAGUUUAUGAAGAAGACCCUGAUAGGAGAGGCCUACAUCUGGCUGGACAAGGUGGACAUGAGGAAGAGGGUGGUCAGCUGGCACAAGCUGCUGGUCAGCUCCACACACAACCAGUCAUGAGAGGUCAACUUGAGAGGACACCGAGGGGUCAACCAGAGAAAAGAGAGGGGGAGGAGAAGAAGAGAUAAGAGGGAAGGAAGAGGGGUUGCGGGUACGGACUCGCCCAGAAAGAACUGAUCCUCCUAUUCCCUCUCCCACUGCCAGACAUGGACUUUACCCUGAUCCUUAAUUGGACCAAAGACUGUCAGAGACUGUACCCUGAUUGGAUAGACUGCCAGCACGCACGCACGCACACACACACACACACACACACACACACACACACACACACACACACACACACACACACACACACACACACACACACACACACACACACACCGAGGAAUGAAGAAGUCCUCCGCUGUAAGAGGACACACACAUCUCACCACCUGUCAGCUCUCUGCUCGACAUGUCGGAUGCAAAACCUGACGUCAAACAGGACUGGGCAGCAAUAUCACAAAGAUAGUUACCAUGAUGGAGCUACUCAUUUCUGUUCUGUCUGAAUCUGAUACUGUUGUUUAUGGCUUAUCAGAUCAUUAUCAUUAUUGGGAUUGAUCUGUGAAAAUGUCAGUCAGUCAGUGAGUGGGGUUCAAAUUGAUGUAUUUGUUUGUGUGUUUUUGUCCUUGGCUGUUUGACAAAGUAUGGAAUGUUUGUUGUAAGAUUCUAUUUAUGUUGUGUACAAAAAGUACAGUGCAAUUAUAUUGUUGAUAAGUAAUUAACGAAACCUGACCAUACCUGAACUCUCAAGUCCAGUAGGUGACAGUAAUGUACCAUUACAGUUUGUUGCCAACAGCCAUAAAACUCCAACUUGACCUUACCUGGAAAGAUGUAGAUGUACAUUCAGAUUUAGAUAGAUAUAUGUCAGAAUAUGAAUCAUAUCAGAGACACAGUGUACAGAGAAAUGUUAUUUAUGACCAUAGAUGCAUAUAUUACAGAUGAUAUGAGGUGUCUCCUCAUGUACAGUUUAUUCUAAAGACUACAUUCUGGACAAACAAGGGUAUGGAAGGAGCACAGACAAUCCAAUCCCUUUAGCUCUGGUGUUAUGCAGUUAUACUGGGUGUUAUACAGUGGGAAAACAGGAAAAUGCAGUUCAAAUGGUGAAUGUAGAACUCAUAGCACAACUGAGACAGAGAGGAGAACAACUACAUGGAUAUCCGUCCUCUUACAGGUGGGGAGAAGAGAACAGAUAGAAGAGGAUGUCAGGUCCCUUCCCUUCAAACUCAUGGCAGUCUGAUAUAUUGUGUUGUGAGAGAGUCCAUUCCACAUACGGACAGCAGUGUGUAGGAAUCUUCCGUCCCCUCCCCUUAUUAUGUCCUGAACGUUACUCACUGAGGAAGAUCACAUGAUUUUACUGGACCCAUCAGACUGGUUAUGUUUUUGUGAUGUCUUACGCACAUGUGACUGGAGGCUUAAACAAUAGUUUUGGUUUGAGAGCAAAACCGAGAUUGCUGGCCACCUUGCCCAACCUGCAAUCGAACAGAGGGAUGUGUAGCCUCUCUCUGGUGAAGUGCUCUGCUCCCCUGUUUGGGCUCCUCACCUAUUCUAUGUUAAAGCAACAGUUAGACACACCUGUCCCCUGCGUGUGUGACAUCACAGUCUGGUUCUGUAAAAAAAACGGAACACCCAACAUCUUGCUGUAAACAGUACACUGUAAAUUGUGCACUGUGCAGUCAGUGUCAGUGGAUGUAAUGCGACAACACAGUGAACCAGCCUUUGUCACUGCCUCUGGUCAAAGCUCUAAGUCAUUACCUAUGGUCCAGUCAUAACACGGCCAGGACACACUGAUACACACUGAUAUACAGUCCAAAUCUAUGGGCUCAGAACCAUAUGGCACUACUGUUGUUAGUAUAUUAUUAUUGUCAGUGAUCUAUAUAGUGGAUCAUAGUGAACAACAUCCUCAAGUGACCCUACAGAGCUAGUACCCUCCACCCUAUCUGCAGGCAUAUCACUGAGCAACUAGGGGAGGACAGAUGCAAUUUCCUAAUAAAUUAAGUCCAUAUCAGAGGCUCGAAAUUCAGACACUGAGUCAAGAUGUCACAAAUGUUCAUAAGACAAAAAAAACGUGAUUUUAAAGAGGGUUAGUUUUACAGAAAAUGAUAUUGUCGUGCCAACCUUGUUUUGUAAGCAAACCCAUUGGUUGUGUUGAAGUCAUUCUAUGCAACAUAGACCUUGUGUUUGAAUGCAUUUUCUUAACAUGUAAUAUCAGUGAACAUUGUGUCUGAAAAUAUGUAUCUUAUGAAUAGAAUUUUAAUUUAUUUUGGUUUAUAUAUUAUUGAAGAAAAGUAUAAAAAAAAUAGAGAGAGAUUU